CCUCCCUAGUUCUGCGAUUCCAUUCCUCCGGCCUUCUCCACGAAAUUCCCGACGCGGAUGCCGCCGCCAUUCCCGGUGCCUCCUUCCUGGUUCGGAGGGUUGUUCUGUUGAUUUCCCCCUCCAAUUCCUCCUUCGCGGCCGAGAAUUGUACCCUGAUUUUGCUGUUGCCCUGCCUCGGUUAUGCCGACGGCGGCGAAUCUCGUCUGGGUUCGAGCUUUCUGCCUCUCGUCCCACCAUUCCGGGUAUCCCACCCGGAGAAAACAGUUCUCCUUGGUGUGUUUGUUCUUGCCGCAGUGGGAGCACCAUAGCUUGCUCUUGUCCGGCUUCCCUCCGGCUUGAUGAGUGGCGGCUCCGGCAGGUGGAGGACGUUGUGGCCCGCUCCGAUUCGCCGGUCUAUCUCUCUGUGCCCCGAAUCCAUACCCGAUUUCCCCCGAUGAUGUAUCGGCGUUUCCCACGCCAGUGGCAUCUCCGAUUGGUGACGAGGAUGCCGGUGACAUGAUCUUGCAUCGAGUCGCCUCCUUCUUCACCAACGCGUAGGCCUCUUCGACUGAGGGGUAUGGGUCGAGUUUGAGAAUGUCUCGCCGGAUUGCAUCAUACUCCGAGUUUAAUCCGGUGAGGAAUUUCAGUAGCCUCUUUUUGCUUGUGAAGUCCCUGAAUUGUCUGAUUCCCUUGUCGCAGCAAGUCACCGGCUGCUCUUGGCUUCGGUCGACAUUAAUCCAUAAUCCGUGGAUUCGACGGUAAUACGUCUCAAGAUCUAAAUUUCCUUGUCUGAUUGAUAUUAACCUGUCCUCCAGGUCGUAGAUGUGGUACGAGUCCGCCUUGCUUUCGAAAGUGAUUCGAAGGUUGUCCCACAAGGCUUUGGACGUCUGAUGGUGGGCGAAAUCGGCAAUAAUAUCAUGUUCGACAUUGUCGAUUAUCCACGAGAAAACCACGAGAUCGGUUUCCUCCCAAUCUCGGUAUCCUUUGCUGUUCGGUUCUGGUGGUUCGUCGAUGAUGUGGGUGUAUCCUCUCCUUCCUCCUAUCGCGACUUUCAUAAGUCGCGACCAUAGCGGAAUAUCUUCCAACAGUCUGGAAUCUUGUCAGUAUGUUGUUUAGGUGGAAGGCCGCUUGAUAUCGUCGAUUAGGAAGGAAAAAAGUAUUAUGGUGCACUUACUGAAAUGUUGGAGCUAGAUUUCUAUGGAAAGUAUAAGAUUGUUCUUUUUCGAGAUGAUGCAAUAUAGAAGGAUUGGAAGCUUGUAGUUGCAACAAAGCCAAGAGAUUUUGUAUGACAUGGGGAGCAAACCAGAUGUAGAAGACGAUGAUACUUAUACUGAAUGUGUUCCUCUGGACAAUAUUUUCACUGAUGUACUAGAUAAUUGCAUAGGCUGGGCAAGGUCUAACAGUGUGAACGAUGCCAACACUACAUGUGUAUUGGAUUGGUGAAGCUGGUAGAAAUGUUUGACUACAGUUUUAGCAGAUACUGACUUUCUCAUAUAAUUAUAGAUAGGAAACAUCACAAGAUUCGAUUGCGAUACCCUACUCACUCAAAGUAACAUAGCAGAGGCGGAGAGAGAUGGCGACUGCUGUGGUGCUUAAGCCGCUGAUCAACAUUGACACAAUUCCCUUUCUCUUCUUAAACCUCCGAUCCUUUUGUUGCUCCUCUGCCGCCGAAGCACAUAUCAGAAAGGCUAAAUUGCAUAUGUCAGAGAUAGUUACCACAAUCAAUGAGUAUCGCGCCACCUCUCAGAGCUUACAAAGUUGGGAUGCUGGACACUUGUUUUCUUGCACAGCAUGUUUUACAACUUGAGGCUAACUGCAUAGAUUCGACAGUCCCUGCUGAUGCUGUCUUUGCCCAAGAAGUAAAGAAAUUAUAGGCUGAACAAGUUACUCUUGACCAUUUGAACGAGAUCAUGCUUGUGUGGUCCUUGUUUCUAAUUUCUAAUUUUGUUUGUAUCCUAGUUUCAGUAGGCUUUUCAACACCAAUCAAACUUGUUAUGUGAGAGUGUACUUGGUUUGCUUAAAUUUGGUCCUUAUGAUCUUUGGUCUGUUUUGGUAAGAAAUGGGUAAAAUUCGGUUGGAGUCAAUUUGAUAUUUUUGCAAUCCAA